AUUCUACUUUGAUUGUGGUAAUCUGUAUUUUCUCAUUCCAAAAAUGGAGAAAAUAAUGCUGGCCUCUACCUCCUAGAAGCUUACAGUCAAAAUAUUACAACAACAAUGCUAUCCACACAGAUGUUAAAACACAGAGUAAACAGAUGUUGCGCAAUUAAGACACAGCUAAAACAGGGGCCGAGUAUUUAUAUAUGGAGAAUUGACUCUUGUUGCCACAGGAAGGUGAAGGACAAGAGCGAAAAGAAAAAUUAUACUGGUUUCAUAAAGACAGGACUACUGAGGGAUUUGAGGUGGUCCUUGCAGGGAGAGAACAUGGGAAGCUCACAGGAAAUUAAACCAGAAAUAUGACUGGAAAAUGUCUUGAAGUGUCAUGAAAGCUGAAGAGGAAAGUUAAAAUUAAUCUAAGAGCACACCAAACAGGAACAGCAAGUAUUGAAGAUGCCUGCCCUGUUUCCAGAACAUCAAUAUUAUUUCACAUUUCUGUUGUGUGAUUAACUUUACAAAAGAAAUUGCUAUCCCUCCUGGAAUGUAAGAGCCAUGAACAGGAAUCUUUUACUCUUUGUCACGGAUGUAUUUUGAGGACCGAAAAGAGUGCCUGUGACAUAACAGACACUCAAUAAAUAUUUGCUGAAUGGCUAUUUGAUAAAUUGGAUAAAUCAACAUAGAACUGUACCCCAAAAAGAGUAACCAUGAAAAAAGCAGUCUUCAUUCAGAAAGGGCGGAAAGAAAGGGGUGACUAAAUAUAGCACCUUCAACUGAAACAUUAAGGUACUCUCAUUGGAAGUAAUCAAGGAAACAACUCGACCCACGGAGACCAGAGCAAAUCAAGGCAGGAAGACAGCCCACUUGGGAAAGACGUGGAGUCAAGGGAAACUCCCCUUCCCAGGGAAGUGGUAAGUGAAUGC
rnacentral:lncRNA from 1 species